rnacentral:rRNA from 1 species
AGUGAACGCUGGCGGUAGGCCUAACACAUGCAAGUCGAACGGCAGCACAGUAAGAGCUUGCUCUUACGGGUGGCGAGUGGCGGACGGGUGAGGAAUACAUCGGAAUCUACUUUUUCGUGGGGGAUAACGUAGGGAAACUUACGCUAAUACCGCAUACGACCUACGGGUGAAAGCAGGGGAUCUUCGGACCUUGCGCGAUUGAAUGAGCCGAUGUCGGAUUAGCUAGUUGGCGGGGUAAAGGCCCACCAAGGCGACGAUCCGUAGCUGGUCUGAGAGGAUGAUCAGCCACACUGGAACUGAGACACGGUCCCGACUCCUACGGGAGGCAGCAGUGGGGAAUAUUCGACAAUGGGCGGAAGCCUGAUCCAGCCAUACCGCGUGGGUGAAGAAGGCCUUCGGGUUGUAAAGCCCUUUUGUUGGGAAAGAAAAGCAGCAGGUUAAUACCCCGCUGUUCUGACGGUACCCAAAGAAUAAGCACCGGCUAACUUCGUG